rnacentral:rRNA from 1 species
CACGCCGUAAACGAUGGAUACUAGGUGUAGGGGGUAUCGACCCCCCCUGUGCCGGAGUUAACACAAUAAGUAUCCCACCUGGGGAGUACGGCCGCAAGGUUGAAACUCAAAGGAAUUGACGGGGGCCCGCACAAGCAGUGGAGUAUGUGGUUUAAUUCGACGCAACGCGAAGAACCUUACCAGGGCUUGACAUCCUCUGACGAUCCUAGAGAUAGGAUUUCUCUUCGGAGCAGAGAGACAGGUGG